ACAUUAUUGACAUACAAACCCAAACGACAACAGAACAGGAUAAUUUGUCCACUAACACUUACUACACAAACCCCACAUAUCCGCAAGAUCAUUAAUAAACAUUGGCACCUCAUACGGGAGAUCCCAGGAUGCAAAGAUAUACCUAUCAUAGCCCACAAACGAUCUAAAAAUUUAAAAGACAUUCUUAUUCAUUCUGACUUCAAAAAAUCCAAGGUAGAAUCCACAAGUAUUACAACAGGGAGUUUCAAGUGCGGUCAUUGUGAUGUAUGUUGCCUCACAUUUGACAUUAAGCAGUUUUUCCAUCCAUCAUUACACAUCAAAAUCAAUUUGAAAGAUUUUAUUACAUGCUCAACAGAAAAUGUAAUCUAUGUAAUUCAGUGUCCUUGUGACUUGCUGUACAUUGGGAUGACCACUAGACCACUGAGAAUCAGAAUUCAAGAACAUCGUUCAAAAAUUAGAAGAGAAAGUCUAGAUUCCACUUUAUACACACAUUUUCAUGACAAAUCUCACCCAUGUAAUAGCUUUAAAUUUUUUGCUCUAGAGAAGUUACAUACUACUGCUUACACAGACAUUAGAACUGGUCUCCUCAGAAGAGAAACUUUUUGGAUUCACAAACUCAGAACAACCACACCUCAUGGUUUAAACGAUAGACUAGACCUCAGCUGUUAUCUGUAAUCUUAUAUUUAAACACUUAGAAAACCAUGUAUGACUGCUCGCAUCAUAGAAACCACAUUUCAGCAAACUGACACUGCGAAUCUAUAUACUGAAGCAGAGCAAUACAAAUAGAGCAGAGCCAACAAUAUACCAAUUGAAAACUAUUUGCUGCUUAUCCAUUGCCGCUUACCAGAAGAAGGACAACCGAAACUGGAGUAAACCCGGGAGCCAGUAGUAAACGGACUAUUGCAAUCUACAGCCAGCUACUUAGAAACAGCAUUGUGUUCUCCUAGCUGGGGCUCUUGUUGACAACUACUCAGAAUCAACAUUCAUGCAUAGUUUGUUCCCCAGACUUGGGAGCUUACUCUUGAGAAACUGAACUGACUUCCAAUAGACUGUAAUUUCAAAAGAUAUGCUAUACAUUUGAUGUCAGCAACACAGGAUCUCAAAGAAUCAAAAGGACUUUUGGUCAAGCUUUUCAAUACCUGUGAAAUUAUUUUGCAAAGGUUGAAUGUGUUUAUAUUAUUAUUUUUGUUGCCAAAUUCAAUUGAAGUUUAAAUAGUGGAGACUAUUACAGUCUGGAAGAUACCACUGUGGAUUAUAACAGUUGACUGUAUAUAUCAUUUUCAUUAUUGUUGUUAACUCUCAGAUAAUAUUGUAUGUAUAUGGUGCUCUGAAUUACAUAGUGCAACUCAUGUUUUGAAA